UACCAGCACCCCGAGUGGUCGGGACGAUUAUUGGGCCUAAAGCAUCCGUAGCCGGUCUUGCAAGUCUUCCGUUAAAUCCAGCUGCUUAACAGAUGGGCUGCGGAAGAUACUACAAGACUAGGAGGUGGGAGAGGCAAGCGGUACUCAGUGGGUAGGGGUAAAAUCCUCUGAUCCAUUGAAGAACACCAGUGGCGAAGGCGGCUUGCCAGAACGCGCUCGACGGUGAGGGAUGAAAGCUGGGGGAGCAAACCGG
rnacentral:rRNA from 1 species